ACGUAGGGUGCAAGCGUUGUCCGGAAUUAUUGGGCGUAAAGAGCUCGUAGGCGGUUUGUCGCGUCUGCUGUGAAAAUCCAGGGCUUAACCCUGGACCUGCAGUGGGUACGGGCAGACUAGAGUGCGGUAGGGGAGAUCGGAAUUCCUGGUGUAGCGGUGAAAUGCGCAGAUAUCAGGAGGAACACCGGUGGCGAAGGCGGAUCUCUGGGCCGUAACUGACGCUGAGGAGCGAAAGCAUGGGGAGCGAACAGGA
rnacentral:rRNA from 1 species